UCUAUACUUGAACCGUUCGCGCAAAUGGAGAAAGCAUUAAAAUGUGCAGAUUAUUGAAAACGGCGUCUCUUAUCAACUUUGUUGUUACAUUAUUUCGAAUUUGUCAAGAGUUUCGUCACUACAAGAAGAAUAAGUAGAAAACCAAAACAUUCACGUGAGUAUAUUGGGCGGCGGUGGUCUUUCCGUCGUUUAUAACAUUGAAUCGGAAUUGAGCCAGCAUGAACCCCAUUAGAUUCGAUUGAUACUCUUUUUGCGUUGUUCUCCUUCAAUAGCAGAACACCAAAAGGAAAAAGGAAAGCUCUCCUUCCUGCGUGGAUUCUGCUCCUUUGACUGAGGCAAAACUCCACUGAGAUGUAGAAGCGAAGUACUUUUGAUGGAGAGAAGACUAUUUUUGACGAAGAAGAGUACUUUCGUUGCAGGGUUUACAAUUAGGGUUUUGAUGGUUUUUCACACGAUUCUCCCCUGCUUCAUCUUCCAAGAUCUAAGUUAUUGUUUUAUUAGGCUUUCUGGUUGGGGUGGUGGAGGCAGUGGCGAUGCCUCUGCACCAAGAGCUAAUAACACCAUCUUCUCACCAGAGAACACACAACAGGGAAGAAGACGUUUGAGUUCAAGCAGAGUUUCGGGAGAAGAAAGGCCGCUCACCUGAUAAGAGAUUUGAAACUGCGACUGUUGGAAAUGCAAUGGGUACCACGGAAAAAGUCUAGGCUGGGAUGGAUGGUUUCUGUUCCAGCCUCUUUGUCCACCCGCAAAUUUCAUCUCAAUCGAUCUCUUCUUUGUCAUUGAAAUUUUUAGCUAACCUGAAACUGAUUUUUGAGGGUUUUUGUGGGUGUUUUUUCUUCUUUGUUAGGGUUUAACGAUGGAGGGUUCGUCCAUUGUUGUUAAGUUCAAACAAUUUUAAUAGUAUUUACGUUUCCAUAGACAUGCCGUAAAUCCACGUUUUCUUGUCUUGCCCAGUCAAACUCUUGGACACAUGUUGGAAUCUGAUUGAUAUUUAGAACAAUUAAUCUUCCUGUCUUAAUUGUAUUUUGAACUUAAUAUUUAGAUCUUUUUCUACAAGUUGACAUGCUCUCUUAUAAAAUGCAGUUUGAGCAAGGGGUUGCGCAGGCCAUUCUUCGUGGUCUUAUAGAUUUUAAACGGGAUCCAGGGUCAAAUGUUUCAGAGAGUGCAAAGAAUUUGGUUCGACAGAUGUUAGAGCCUGACCCAAAACUUUGGUUGACUGCAAAGCAAGUGCUUGGUAUUUUCCUACUUUUGUGUUACUGUACAUGUUGAACAUGUAAUAAUGCAAAUCAACUUCUUGAAAAAGCUACACUUAAGGAACACUCCUUACAAACUUACAUGUACUGAUUUGGUUAUUUGGAAAACAUCCGGGGCAUAUUUCUCAUGGGUUAUGAUGCUCCAGGCAGCCAGGCCAUAGGUUCCAUGCCUAAAACUGUCUUGCCCAAAUGGAAGGUAAUCUCUAUGCCCAUGUUAGAAUGGGAGGGUGUCUAUAUAGACUUUCUAAAGAAAUGUACAUCCUUUGAAGAGAACACAUGCAGAAAUCUGUGUUGAUAUAUGAGUGGUGACAGCAUAGACUUGGGUUUCAUUUCCAUCAAGAGCAAUUUUCAUCUGAUAGUAUUACUCUUACUUGUGCCGUUAUCAUUUUGUUAUGGACUCACAAGAGUAUCGUUGAUUUGAAUAUACUUGCAGUUGAUUGUUUUUGUUAUUAUGUUCUUUCCUGGUUCUGUUUUGCUGAGCCAGUUGAUUUCAUGAAUACUACCCGCAAGGUUAUCAUUCUGCUUAUUGAAUCGGCAUAAAUAACUUACAGUUUGCACUUGGUUUAUCAUUCUGCUUAGUAUGAUGAUCAGACUUCUGACAUUUAGAUGAAUUAUUGAACACUAGACAAUUAGGAUCUGAUGCCUACAUUCUUCCUCCCUUACAGAACAUCCUUGGCUCCAAAAUGCUAAAAAUCUCCAAUUGUUCCUCUUGGAGAUGUUGUCAAGUCAAGGCUUAAGCAGUUUUCUAUGAUGAACAGAUUCAAGAAGAAAGCAUUAAGGGUUAUUGCUGAUCAUUUAUCCUUUGAAGAAGUUGAAGACAUCAAAGAAAUGUUUAAGAAGAUGGACACUGAUAAUGAUGGUAUUGUUUCAAUUGAGGAACUGAAAACUGGACUUCCAAAGUUUGGCUCCCAGCUGGCAGAGAAGAUGGACACUGAUACCUUUCAAUUUACCUGUUUUAUGUGGUUUAUUUUUUUAUUCUUUAUUUGCUAAAUUGUUUUUCUCUUCUAUUCUUAAAGUUAAGUUGUAAGCAGCUGUCAGUAUGUCUAACUUGCAAUGUUCUACCAAGGAGUGAACUACAAUUUUGAAACCCAUCAUGGAUGGAGCUUCAUGUCUUUUCACCUAUUUAAUUGAACUUUGUUAUAAUCCAGGCUAUGCAUUGGAAAAAGCUCUUAUUAGAUGAUGUGUAAAUGGUAAACCUUACUUUUGUCUGUACAUUGACUUGAAUUAUUGAGAAUAUUGUAUCUUCUACUUCUAUUUGGAUGGUUAAGAGGAAGAUAUAUUACAUCUCACGAAUAAAGUUAUUCAAUAGGAUGUUAGUCUUUUAUCUUAAUUCUUGUUUUGACAGGAUGUUUUGAAUCUUUAGAUGCUUCUAUAUAUUGAACCAUGCGGAGACAAAUCUCAUAAACUAUGCUAGGGUGUUUCCCCUAUGGAUUUUGCGUUUUAUUAGAAAUUAGAAAAUAUUAAAUAAUCUGUCCAACACUUCAAGCCACCACUUUCAUGGUGGUGGUGUUCACUCUGAAUCAACUACGAAGCUUUUUGUUAGUUUCAUAGCAGAGAUUAGAUUUUUUUAUGUUGCAUGCAUUUGGUCUCUUUGAUUUUGCAUUUUUCCGGAGCUAAAGACAGUGGAGGAUUUGAUUUAGUUACUUUGCCAUCCAGUCAGAUGUGUCUUAAAUGUAUUCCUUGUUCCUUCAUGACGUCUGUUUUUUAUUUCUCUCUCUGUUUGCAAUGGAAAUGUAGAAUAGUUGGAGGAAUUAGUACUGAGAAUCCAAAUAUAUUAGCUGGUUUUCCUCUGUUACUGAGAAUCCAAAUAUGUAGAAUAGUUGCAUGCAUUUGGGCUCUGCAGAAUUUCUUCUCUUAAGUUGGAAAUUAUUUGUGAAAAACUGAAACCUCAUGUUUUUUCACUAAAAUGUCUUCUUCAAUACAUUAUCCAUAAUCUGCUAAGUAAUUGCAUGCCAUUUGGAGCAAUGUUUGAUUUAAGCCAUUUUUGUUUUAGUGAUAAAAAAAUAUCUCCUACUAUCUAUUUUCAGUUUUGGUUAGAAUUAUCUUUUUUGAAAGGAAAGCUAAGGAAAGUUGGACCAAGGUGUUAGGUACUUUAUGAAGGAAGCAACCACAAACAUUUUUUUUUCUUUCAAUUGUUUUUUAUUUAAAAAUGAGCCAUACAUAAAAAUAUUCAACUUUUGGGGUGGUGCUUUGUCAUAUCUUCCUGGACCACAACAAGAGGAGUUUAUGUGCAGGCUAAGAUGGUCACUGGUUGCAAAUGAGAGUACAUGCAGAUUUUAGAUCUGAACUUUCAAACCACAUAGUUAGGACUUAGGAGACAACUCCAGCUCAGGGCCUAGCUUUGGAAAAGGAAAAGGGCUAAAUCUAGCUAGAGAUUAAUGACCUUUCUUUGUGACUGCUAGAAGCUUGUGGCUGAAAUGUCAACACCAUUUCUUUUCAAACCACAUAGUUAGGACUUAGGAGACAACUCCAGCUCAAGGCCUAGCUUUGGAAAAGGAAAAGGGCUAAAUCUAGCUAGAGAUUAAUGACCUUUCUUUGUGACUGCUAGAAGCUUGUGGCUGAAAUGUCUACACCAUUUCUUCUCCUGCUAGAAGCAUCUGGAAAGGCUGGUAGGAGUGAUUGCAUCUUCUCCUUUUCCUCCUCAGUUCCAUGGUUUGUGAAACCCUAGCAUCUUAUGUUGGCUUGAAUAUAAGUAGGAGAUUCGAAGUUAGUAUACAUAUUUUUUGUUUGUAAUAACCUUUUUAUUGAUUAUUUUGAAUCAAUUGAGCAAUUGGGAUUGAUCCAACACAGAAUUUGGAGUUCAAGGUUGUUCCAAUAGAGUCUAUAGAGAAUUAUCUCAAUUCUGUGAUUGCAGAAAGACCGGCUUGCCUUGCUAUUGUUACUUAAUUGGCUUUAUCAAAUAUAGCAAGUGCAGUCUUUGGAGAGCACUCUUCGUUUCUUCUUACCAUAUUCAAUGCUUGCUGACUUUAACACAUCUAUUGAAUGAAAAGUGUUGCUAACAUUCUAAUGCUUGACUUGCAAGGUGCGGUGAGGAAAUUCAAGAAACCCAAAGUUGAAUGUCCGAAAGGAAGACAAGUAUCAUUACCAUCUGUGGCGUGUAUCGUUAAUAUGUCAAUUGGAUAUUAUUGGAAAAUUUGAAAGUUUUGAAGGUUCUUGUAAUGUUAGUAUGUCAAUUGGAAAUUGUAUUUGAACAA